rnacentral:lncRNA from 1 species
AAAAGAGAUAUAUGAACAUACAUUGACUGCUUUGAACUUAAGGUGUAAGUACAUUGUAUAUAUAUGGUAUAAUCAUAAGAAAUGAUCAGCUUAUCAGUGAAUGUAAAAACAUUUAUUAGAGUUCAAUAUUUCAGUUAAAGUCACAUUUGUGUAUAAAGCAAGGCAAAUGUAAAAGAUAGUUCGUUGAUAGUCAUGAUAGUACAUUACUCAUCUUACAAUAUCAAACUUCUAGAAAAUCACAAUUUUAUUGGACUGUUUUCCCCUGUUGAAUAUACAAUUGAUAUUAAAAUGAAUCAUCAGUAACACAAGAAAAUUGUAUCUUUAGAGGCAGAUUUAGGGGGCAGUGGGCUGAACCUCCCCCCUUUUUGUGCGAAAAAUUUGGUUGAUUAUAUAGGCCAAGGAAUCACUGAAGCAUGACUGGAGUGGGCCCCCUUUGAUGACUAUUUAUGUAUAUGCUUAUGAUCUUUAUAUAAUAACAUACUGUUACACAUUUUGUCUUAUUCUUGAUUUAUAUUGUCCGAUUAUCUAUAUGAUUCUUCUCUUUUGUAGGUAAAAAUGAGUUACAUGUGCCAAAAAAUAUGGUGAAAAUUUGAAAACUGUUAACAAGAGCAUCAACAAAUAGAAAAAAGAACAAUACCAGGUCUAGACUUUUGUGGCUGCAUGCAAUUAUUUCUAAAAUACCAGGAAAAAAGAUGUAGCUGCACAGCAGACACCCUAGAUCAUAAAAUUGCAUGUAAAAAAGGAAAGCAUUCCUUUUCAUAGAAUCAAAGAACUCUUUUAACCAAGUCAAGAUGUUA